UACGUAGGGGGCAAGCGUUGUCCGGAUUUAUUGGGCGUAAAGAGCGUGUAGGCGGCUUUGCAAGUCCGUUGUGAAAACUCGAGGCUCAACCUCGAGACGCCGGUGGAAACUGCAAAGCUAGAGUCCGGAAGAGGAGAGUGGAAUUCCUGGUGUAGCGGUGGAAUGCGCAGAUAUCAGGAGGAACACCGAUUGCGAAGGCAGCUCGCUGGAACGUUACUGACGCUGAGACGCGAAAGCGUGGGGAGCAAACAGG
rnacentral:rRNA from 1 species